UCUACUGUGUUGACAACGUGGGAAAGAAAUGACAACAGGAUCGUUUCUGAUCUUUUCUAAUAACUUAUUUCCUGAUAUGCCAAUAGUUUCUUUAAAAUGUGGUUACAAACAGUUUAUAGUAACCGAAAGUGACAUAUUUUGAAUGAUUACGUUUUGUUGUUUUGUAGAAGAAUCAUGUGAAGCUCUUGAAAGUAGCAGGACAUUUUUUGUUAGCAAGCAAAGCUCUGCUGUUAGGAAAUGUUUGUUCUCCUCUUGAUGGCUCAUGUGUUGAAGAUGAAGAUAUGUAUGUGAAGAACAUGGUACAUAUGGUAUAACAUUAACAGGGUUGAACGGAGAACCGUGCAGAUAACUUAUUUGGGACAGCAUCUACAAAAAAAACAUAUUCCGGCAAAUGAAAACAAAGCAACUACCUACACACAUGGCUUAUUAAAGGCAAACAACAGGACUGGCCCUGAAGAUGCAUCAGAGGCCAUCGAGUCAUCACUCUCUUUACCACCAUCAUUAUUCUCGUAACCAUCAUCGACAUCUUUUACAUUAUCAAGAAAAGCCGGAGCCUAUUAGAAGCCUCAUAUAAUUGAAGAGAAGAAGUAAGUUUCACCCACAUGGCAACCCCUAGUACCAUUGUUUUCACUCAAUUGAAGCACUACCAAACAAAGCCAUUGCAGAUAUAUGUCAACCAAGGAAGAUCAGCUUUCGAGGUGGAAAGCAGAAGAGACCCACCUCAACAGCAAGAAGGAAUAAAAGAAGGCAUUUACUUAAAUUCUGAAAGCAUCAUCAUCAGCCACUGGCUUGAACUAAUUGUUAACUUUGGUUGGCAAGUCGGUGUGAAAAAGGACGGGACACUCUGUGGAUUGGCUCUUUAGUGCAUGUUGGACUAGUUGUGAAGUUUAUGGUGUUAUAUCUCUAAAUCAAUUGAUAACAAGUGGUUAUACGAGUCUCCGCCGUCGCAAUGUAACAUCACAACGAAACCCUAGGCUAUGAUUCUGUGCGUCUUCCCCAACGAGCGAAACUGGAGACGUUUUGUGGUUAGCUCAAACGAAGAGUCAUCUUCAACGCAGGCAUCAACUAUUGUCGAUAUAAUCUUCAAUGAUUUCCCAUUUACUGCCUUCAUCACAAUCUUAAGCUAUAAAAAGAUCGACCAUUGUACUUCCACCGUCGAGGUCCGCCUCCUUAGGUUCUGAGAAGCCAGAGAUGUGAAGCGCGGCGAGUUACUGGGGUUGGUUGACAUGUUCUUCCUCGACUCUCAGGUAACUCCGCUGCCAGAAUCUUAAAAUAUUGGGUAGAUGAUUAUUCUUUUGUUUGUUUUUUCUGUCUUGCGUUCUUCAUGUGUUGAUUAUACACCUUAUGUUUCGUUUACUGGAGAUCCAUUUAUUCGUUUUUCAUUACUAAAUUUUCUUCCCAGGCGCUUUUGUUUUUUUUUUAAAUUAUUGGAGGACAAGUAUUGAUUUGCUCGGUAACUAGGCCACCUCUGAUGACCUCCCCCUCAGAUGUUUAUCUCAGAACUAGGACCGGACGCACGGCUUUUCUUCACCCGCGUCUGAGGAAACUGUCUCAAUAGCGGUAGGAGCCAUGGAAAAAUAACCUGCUUUCAAUUCGGCGAGCAGAAUUGAUAGCCUACGGUUACGCCGCCUCGUCUUCAUAGCAAUUUCAUGGAUCAUCGAUCGACAUCACAGUGGCGAGGUCCCCGAGAGAGAUGAAGAUGGAAAGGAUUCGACUUUUCCAAAAUACUACUUGAUUUUUUAUCAGAUGUAUUCUUUGGCCCAAAUAUUUGUGUCUACGAUCAACUAUGUAGCCCAUUUAAUCGAAGACAAAACUUAGCCCAUAUGUAUACAUAUUAAUGAAACGUUCCAGGUUGGAAAGCUUCAGAAUUGCGCCUCAAGUCAUGGGAUGAACCUUGGAAGCUGUGGUAUGUUGUUCUCAAAUUGAAAAACCUGGUGAUGACUAAGGGAAAUAUGCUUCAGCCGAACUGAUGUUUCCAAACCCUGAACGCAUUUGAAAGGUGAAGAGUUCUGUAUGCUGACAGAGAGAGCGAUUGAGGAACCAAAUCUCAGAAGAUCAGCCGAGAUGAAGAAUAUGUUCUAUGACCCAUUGUGCUUCGUUUUUCAACCGAGCAGUAAACUUGAGUUAAUUCAUAUUUGGGAUUAAGAAGUAAAAACUAGCAUUAAAGAGACUGAAGAAGACAAUAUUUUUCUUUUAGGACUGGUCUAAUAAUUAGAAUUUGUGUCUGGCAAUAUAACUGUUUGUUCGGUAGUAUACGCAGGUUUCUAUAAAACCAUGGUUGGUGUU